rnacentral:pre_miRNA from 1 species
AAAAAGACAAACCCUGGUUUCCGUGCCCAACGUUUAACCGUCCGUCUUAUUUGAAAAAAUUAUGAAAAAAAUUAAAAAGACAAGUCACGCAUAAAAUAUUAAUCAUGUUUUAUCAUCUAACAACAAUGAAAAUACGAAUUAUAAAAAAAUUUCAUAUAAGACGAACAGUUAAAGUUGGACACGGAAACUCAGGGUUUGUAUUUUU